CCGGCCAAAGCAAGAAAAAAGCAAGAAAAGAAAGAACAAGAACCCUAGGGUGAAAAUUCAAGAGAAAAUUGGUGGAUUUCAAGUAAUCAAGCAAUCAAAGGUAAAAUUUCUUGAUUUUGACUUGUGAUCUACCUUUCCCAUACAUUCUUUUGCAUUUUCCAUGGUUAAAUCACAUGAUUUCAUGAUGGGUAUCUUGCUGGCUAAACACUUAGAGAGAGGUUUUGAUGCUUGAUUUGGUUAGAUUUCAAGUAUUUUAGUGUUUUUAGUUUAUUGGUGAUGUGUAGCAUGAAAAUCAAUCAAGAAAAAUUCAUGUUCUUCCAUCACCCAUCAUUGGCCGAAUUCUCCAUGUAGAAUAUUGAUGAUGAUUUUGAUUUUAUUUCAAGUGAUUUGGUUAGGAAUUAGUGAUUUAUGGUGUGAGAAUCAAGCUUGAAAAAUUAUAGUGUUGAUGCACCCACCAUGGCCGAAUUUUCCAAGAGAAAAUGUGAGGAUGAUUUUGUCAUAUUUCAAGUUAUUUAAUUUGUGUUUGAUGAUUUCGAGUAUUGGGAGAAAAAUGAAAUUAUUUGGAGUUGAAUUAGACGUAUUGGCCAAUUAAUCGAGUGAUAGAUCGAAUUAAGCCAAUACCGUUUUAUUUAGGUACAUAAUUGAAUUUAUAUUGAACAUCGUAUUUAGAUAGUUACCCAAGCAUUUCACAUCCCAUUUCAUGCAUUAGUAUAGAGCCUGAAUUGGUUUUAUAACAAUUUAGCACAAAUGUAGUAAAUGGCUUAUUGUGCAUUAUGUCUAGGUGGUGAGCAUUCUAGCAAAAGUAAAGAGAUAGUACCCGAGGAUCAAGAAUCAAAGUGCUCGAAAUUUGACUCCCGAAAUAGUGAGUAACCUUACUAUCGUCUUAAUUAUCUAAAGUGGUUUUUAUCCGAUUUUGUGACUUUAUGAAAAAUGAGUUAAAUGGUAAAUCUUUGUGUUUUGUAAUUAAAAUGUGAUUUAAUGAAAUUAUUUUAUAACAUUGUCUUGAAAUGAAAUGAUAGUUUGAAAAUAGAGUAAUUAGAGACUGUUUUCAUGUGUUGUAAAUUCAUGGUUUGAAUCGAAUGGCUUAUGACAAUAUUUGCAUGAAUGGCUGAAUUGGUAUUUGUGUUGAAAUAUAUGAAUUGUGUAUUUAGCCUUGAGAGACUGGAUUGUGAUAUAAUUGUCAUGUCAUGCGGUUGAGAUUUUAUUGAAUUGGUGGGUUUAGCUUGCUGCAGUGGACCGUGGACCAGCCUAUUAGAGGGGCAUGGUAACCUCGUUAUAUUCUUACCUCGGUCGAAGAGGCAUGUAGGGUAACUCCCGAGGUACAACUUUAGAGUUCACUUCACGCCAAACCACCACGUGAGGGUGGACUCAGCCAACGCCAAGGAACGACUUGUUUUCAAAAUAAAAACAUGAUUUAUGCGUACAUGACUUUUUAACAGCCUUGGCGGACUCAGUUUGGAUAGCCCCAGACCAAGGUAUCCCUGAUAACUGAGUAUGAGAAUGAUUUUGGCACGAGCCAGAGUUUUAAGAAAUUCAUAAGCCAUGUUGAUUACUCGAUUUAUAUGAAUUGAUUUUAUUUGGUUGAAAUGAGUUGAAAGGUGAUAAAUUACAGUAUGAUGAUCUAUUUUAAUCUGUCUCCAUUUACUCAGCUUUAGAUAUUUUAGAUGGUAUUUGUUUACUCACUGAGAUUAUAUAAUCUCACCACCCUCCUUUCCACCCAUUUCAGGCUCAGGAUAGUCGGUAGAUAGCUCACUUGUUGAGGGCUACAGUUGGACUUGCAUCCUCAAAAAACUAUAAGUUUACCCCUAUUGAUACUUUUGGUCGUUCGUGGGCCCACAUGUCACUGUAAAUUAAAUUUUAUACUUUGAUUAUUUGUAUUACAGUAUGUAUGAAUUUAUUUAGCUUUUACGCUACAAAAAUAUUUACCAAGAACUCUAU
rnacentral:lncRNA from 1 species